rnacentral:sRNA from 14 species
GUGUGCGCAUGCAUGGGUGUGUGUGGGUGUGUGUGCACUUACGCUCAUGAGCAUGCACAUGUGUGAAUGCCCAAUUUAUCCUCUCAGAGGUGUGAAUCCAUGGCUUGAAAAGUGUCUACCACAAGCCUUAAUCAGUCUUUGGUCAAGGGUAUACAGGUAGCUGCAGUCCCCUGCUAGAACUUCUAAACAAGCUCUCAAGGUCCUGUUCUUUAUGCUUUCUAUAUGUUUAUGCAAAGAUUAAAAAGUGUAUAUAUUUGUUU